rnacentral:rRNA from 1 species
UAAACCUUCAUUUACACCUCCCCCGCCAGGGCACUACGAGCCCAAACUUAAAACCCAAAGGACUUGACGGUGCCCCAUAUCCACCUAGAGGAGCCUGUCCUAUAAUCGAUGAUCCCCGUUCUACCUCACCCCUUCUAGCCUACCAGCCUGUAUACCUCCGUCGUCAGCUCACCGCAUGAGCGCACUAUAGUGAGCACAAUGGUAUCCACCAAAACGUCAGGUCAAGGUGCAGCAAAUGAAGCGGCCAGAGAUGGGCUACAUUUUCUUUUACAGAAAACCACGGAAGACUACCAUGAAACCCCGUCAGAAGGCGGAUUUAGCAGUAAAGCAGAAACCAGAGAGUUCUCUUUAAUAAGGCACAGGGGCAUGUACACACCGCCCGUCGCCCUCUUCAACAAUAAACACAAAGUUAAUUACUCAAUACACACUAAGAGAAGAGGUAAGUCGUAACAUGGUAAGCAUACCGGAAGGUGUGCUUGGAA